rnacentral:snRNA from 1 species
AUGCUUGCUUUGGCAGCACAUAUACUAAAAUUAGAAAAAUACAGAAGAUCAGCAUAGUCCCUGUAUAAGGAUGAUAUGCAAAUUCAUGAAGCCAUAUUUUGCCAUAUUUUG